GACAAAGCUACAAAAAGCCAGAAAAGGUUAUGUUAAUAGUCAGUAUAGGGCUAAAAAGGAGCACCAAAAGAAGAAAAGUGGCUUUACAUAAAUAUUAUCAAAGUAGAUGUCAUACAAAUAACAGAAAGAAGGUGAACAGAAUAAAAACAAGGGACUAAGACAAAAGUAUAUGGAUCUAAUAACUAUGUUGUCCUUCAGUAUCAAUAUUAUCGGUCAAAUAUUUAAGAGUAUGGGAUACACUAUGCAGCAGACACAUAACACAUGAUCUGCCUGUUAGAUGUAUAAAUGUUACAACGAUAUAAAUGCCGAUAAAAAGGUACACUUCAACUAUUCUUUUAUUUUCUUUUGUGAUUACAAGGAUAACACACACGUACACCACACACACACAAGUAUGCUUCCUAUCACACGACUACAAUAUUUGAAUGCAAUCCACAAGUAGGCACCAUGACUUGAACUUUGGUGAGUGGGGUCAUACCCUCACGCCUCCAUCACCACACUAAGUGGUGGUUCCUUGUUCUUCAGCUAUUCUCAACUUCAUGUGCUAAUUCGGAUGUAUUAGGCUAUUGGCUUACUGUUGACAACUUUAUGCACUAAAAUUUUUCUAGCAAUUAGGUACUCUUAGAGUAUAUGAAAUUGUCAACGAUAGGCAAAUACAUACUAAUUAGUAAGAUGCAGGAAAUACUGAUUUGCUAACAAGAUAUUUUAAGUCAUGAAGAAACAUUCCCACACCAACAAUCCAGAUCUCUACUCAUGGGCAAUUAGGUAGUCAAUAUUGUCAAGGUAUAAGAGUCAAGAAGUCAAGGGUAGUCUAGUCUUUUCCUAUUCUAGGGUUUGGGUGCUCUCUUGUACUCUAUAUAUUGCCCUUUGGGUCUAACUCAAUACAUCAAGUCCUCUAUUCGUAACAAA